rnacentral:tRNA from 1 species
UGGUCCCCAAAACCAGUAUUUUAUCUUAAACUAUUCUCUG